rnacentral:rRNA from 1 species
GACGAACGCUGGCGGCGCGCUUAACACAUGCAAGUCGAGCGAGAACCAGGCUUCGGCCUGGGGAAAGCGGCGAACGGGUGAGUAACACGUGGGUAACCCACCCUUGGCACUGGGAUAGCCCGAGGAAACUCGGAUUAAUACCGGAUGGCCCAACAGCUCUUCGGAGCGGUUGGAAAAGGUAGCUUCGGCCUCCGGCCAAGGACGGGCCCGCGGCGGAUUAGCUUGUUGGUGGGGUAACGGCCCACCAAGGCGACGAUCCGUAGCUGGUCUGGGAGGACGAUCAGCCACACUGGGACUGAGACACGGCCCAGACUCCUACGGGAGGCAGCAGUGGGGAAUCUUGCGCAAUGGGCGAAAGCCUGACGCAGCGACGCCGCGUGGGGGAAGAAGGCUUUCGGGUUAUAAACCCCUUUCAGGAGGGACGAAGCCACUCGGGUGAAUAGCCCAGAGGGUGACGGUACCUCCAGAAGAAGCCCCGGCUAACUACGUGCCAGCCGCCGCGGUAA